UACGGAGGGGGCUAGCGUUGUUCGGAAUUACUGGGCGUAAAGCGCACGUAGGCGGCUUUGUAAGUUAGAGGUGAAGGCCCGGAGCUCAACUCCGGAAUUGCCUUUAAGACUGCAUCGCUCGAAUCAUGGAGAGGUGAGUGGAAUUCCGAGUGUAGAGGUGAAAUUCGUAGAUAUUCGGAAGAACACCAGUGGCGAAGGCGACUCACUGGACAUGUAUUGACGCUGAGGUGCGAAAGCGUGGGGAGCAAACAGG
rnacentral:rRNA from 1 species